CCAAUAGCGUAUAUUAAAGUUGUUGCAGUUAAAAAGCUCGUAGUUGAAUUUCGGGGUUAGUAAGUUGGUCAUGCCUUCGGUAUGUACUGGCUUUACUGAUUCCUCCUUCUUGACGAACCGUGAUGUCAUUAAUUUGGUGUUGCGGGAAAUCAGGACUGUUACUUUGAAAAAAUUAGAGUGUUUAAAGCAGGCUAACGCUUGAAUACAUUAGCAUGGAAUAAUGAAAUAGGACGUUAAUCCUAUUUUGUUGGUUUCUAGGAUCGACGUAAUGAUUAAUAGGGAUAGUUGGGGGCAUUAGUGUUCAAUUGUCAGAGGUGAAAUUCUUGGAUUUAUUGAAGACUAACUACUGCGAAAGCAUUUGCCAAGGAUGUUUUCAUUAAUCAAGAACGAAAGUUAGGGGAUCGAAGACGAUCAGAUACCGUCGUAGUCUUAACCAUAAACUAUGCCGACUAGGGAUCGGAUGAUGUUAUUUUUAAUGACUCAUUCGGCGCCUUACG
rnacentral:rRNA from 1 species